GACGUAGGGCGCGAGCGUUGUCCGGAUUUAUUGGGCGUAAAGCGCGCGUAGGCGGCUUUGUAAGUUAGAGGUGAAAGCCCGGAGCUCAACUCCGGAACUGCCUUUAAAACUGCAUCGCUUGAAUCCAGGAGAGGUGAGUGGAAUUCCGAGUGUAGAGGUGAAAUUCGUAGAUAUUCGGAAGAACACCAGUGGCGAAGGCGGCUCACUGGACUGGUAUUGACGCUGAGGUGCGAAAGCGUGGGGAGCAAACAGG
rnacentral:rRNA from 1 species